rnacentral:tRNA from 1 species
UGCCCGAUGGUGUAAUGGCAGCACACGGGUUUUUGAUGCCCAGAGUCAUGGUUCAAAUCCAUGUCGGGCAACCA